UACGGGGGGGGCAAGCGUUGUUCGGAAUUACUGGGCGUAAAGGGCGCGUAGGCGGCCUUCUAAGUCGAACGUGAAAUCCCCGGGCUCAACCCGGGAACUGCGUCCGAUACUGGAAGGCUUGAAUCCGGGAGAGGGAUGCGGAAUUCCAGGUGUAGCGGUGAAAUGCGUAGAUAUCUGGAGGAACACCGGUGGCGAAGGCGGCAUCCUGGACCGGCAUUGACGCUGACUGAGCGAAAGCCAGGGGAGCAAACGGG
rnacentral:rRNA from 1 species